GUUAAUGUAGCUUAAAUACAAAGCAAGGCACUGAAAAUGCCUAGAUGAACCAUUUGGUUCCAUAAACA
rnacentral:tRNA from 1 species